CCUUGUACACACCGCCCGUCACACCACGAAAGUCGGCAACACCCGAAGUCAGUGGCCCAACCUCUUUGAGGAGGGAGCUGCCGAAGGUGGGGUCGGCGAUUGGGGUG
rnacentral:rRNA from 1 species